GUGAUCAACAAGACGCAAUUAAGGUUUACUCAUUAAUAGGAUAAAUGAGUUUACUUUUCACAUUAGCUUGAUGUCCAUUAUUUUUUCCUUUGUAGCAACAAGAAACAGGAUUACAUUUUCUCAAGGUUCAAGCUGAUGAUUUAACUUUUUGGAGUGUUUCAGUUUUACACAUUGAAUGAGUUCCUUUUAUGGAAUCUGGAUAUCUAUAAUGCUUUUGUUGAUUUCUUAAACAGUCUCCUUCUUAGUUGCUUAACUGUCAUUUAGGCAUUACAGUUCUGCUCUCCCAGAAC
rnacentral:misc_RNA from 1 species